rnacentral:rRNA from 1 species
CUGCGGCAGCGACGCUGAUGCGUUGUUGGGUAGGGGAGCGUUCUGUAAGCCUGUGAAGGUGGCCUGUGAGGGUUGCUGGAGGUAUCAGAAGUGCGAAUGCUGACAUAAGUAACGAUAAAGCGGGUGAAAAGCCCGCUCGCCGGAAGACCAAGGGUUCCUGUCCAACGUUAAUCGGGGCAGGGUGAGUCGACCCCUAAGGCGAGGCCGAAAGGCGUAGUCGAUGGGAAACGGGUUAAUAUUCCCGUACUUGGUGUUACUGCGAAGGGGGGACGGAGAAGGCUAUGUUGGCCGGGCGACGGUUGUCCCGGUUUAAGCGUGUAGGUGUGUGUUCCAGGUAAAUCCGGUUCACUUUAACACUGAGGCGUGACGACGAGGCACUACGGUGCUGAAGCAACAAAUGCCCUGCUUCCAGGAAAAGCCUCUAAGCAUCAGGUAACAUCAAAUCGUACCCCAAACCGACACAGGUGGUCAGGUAGAGAAUACCAAGGCGCUUGAGAGAACUCGGGUGAAGGAACUAGGCAAAAUGGUGCCGUAACUUCGGGAGAAGGCACGCUGACACGUAGGUGAAGUGAUUUACUCAUGGAGCUGAAGUCAGUCGAAGAUACCAGCUGGCUGCAACUGUUUAUUAAAAACACAGCACUGUGCAAACACGAAAGUGGACGUAUACGGUGUGACGCCUGCCCGGUGCCGGAAGGUUAAUUGAUGGGGUCAGCGCAAGCGAAGCUCCUGAUCGAAGCCCCGGUAAACGGCGGCCGUAACUAUAACGGUCCUAAGGUAGCGAAAUUCCUUGUCGGGUAAGUUCCGACCUGCACGAAUGGCGUAAUGAUGGCCAGGCUGUCUCCACCCGAGACUCAGUGAAAUUGAACUCGCUGUGAAGAUGCAGUGUACCCGCGGCAAGACGGAAAGACCCCGUGAACCUUUACUAUAGCUUGACACUGAACAUUGAGCCUUGAUGUGUAGGAUAGGUGGGAGGCUUUGAAGUGUGGACGCCAGUCUGCAUGGAGCCGACCUUGAAAUACCACCCUUUAAUGUUUGAUGUUCUAACGUGGACCCGUUACCCGGGUUGCGGACAGUGUCUGGUGGGUAGUUUGACUGGGGCGGUCUCCUCCUAAAGAGUAACGGAGGAGCACGAAGGUUGGCUAAUCCUGGUCGGACAUCAGGAGGUUAGUGCAAUGGCAUAAGCCAGCUUGACUGCGAGCGUGACGGCGCGAGCAGGUGCGAAAGCAGGUCAUAGUGAUCCGGUGGUUCUGAAUGGAAGGGCCAUCGCUCAACGGAUAAAAGGUACUCCGGGGAUAACAGGCUGAUACCGCCCAAGAGUUCAUAUCGACGGCGGUGUUUGGCACCUCGAUGUCGGCUCAUCACAUCCUGGGGCUGAAGUAGGUCCCAAGGGUAUGGCUGUUCGCCAUUUAAAGUGGUACGCGAGCUGGGUUUAGAACGUCGUGAGACAGUUCGGUCCCUAUCUGCCGUGGGCGCUGGAGAACUGAGGGGGGCUGCUCCUAGUACGAGAGGACCGGAGUGGACGCAUCACUGGUGUUCGGGUUGUCAUGCCAAUGGCACUGCCCGGUAGCUAAAUGCGGAAGAGAUAAGUGCUGAAAGCAUCUAAGCACGAAACUUGCCCCGA